rnacentral:tRNA from 1 species
AUUCAUUUAGUAUAUAAGUAUAUUAAGCUUCCAACUUAAAGGAUAAUAAAUUAAAUGAAUA